AAUAGAUACCCCGGUAGUCCACGCCGUAAACGAUGAGUGCUAAGUGUUAGAGGGUUUCCGCCCUUUAGUGCUGCAGCAAACGCAUUAAGCACUCCGCCUGGGGAGUACGGUCGCAAGACUGAAACUCAAAGGAAUUGACGGGGGCCCGCACAAGCGGUGGAGCAUGUGGUUUAAUUCGAAGCAACGCGAAGAACCUUACCAGGUCUUGACAUCCCGUGACAACUCUAGAGAUAGGGCUUUCCCCUUCGGGGGGCACGGUGACAGGUGGUGCAUGGUUGUCGUCAGCUCGUGUCGUGAGAUGUUGGGUUAAGUCCCGCAACGAGCGCAACCCUUGAUCUUAGUUGCCAGCAUUCAGUUGGGCACUCUAAGGUGACUGCCGGUGACAAACCGGAGGAAGGUGGGGAUGACGUCAAAUCAUCAUGCCCCUUAUGACCUGGGCUACACACGUGCUACAAUGGAUGGUACAAAGGGCAGCGAAACCGCGAGGUUAAGCCAAUCCCAUAAACCAUUCUCAGUUCGGAUUGCAGG
rnacentral:rRNA from 1 species